GACCUGGUGGUGAAUGGAUCACACCUACCCACUUUAUAAUAUUUUCGGCAAAUGUGCAUGGGAGUGCUCCCGGUUCGAAUCCGGGCCAGGUCG